UACCAAUGAUGGUGACACUAAUAGAAUGUGUACUAAAAAUGGAGGGAAAGUUGCAGGUGACUGUAAUAAAGGAAUAAGCAGCAGGAACCAGAUAUCAUUCUAAAUGGAGCAGAGGAGGUACCGUCAAGGAUCUCAAGUCCUUUUUUGUG